AAUACUUCGAAUAUCUCACUUGAAAGCUCUGAAAACAAAGGUACAAGAUGUUCUGCUUCCUCAGAAUAGCCAGGAUCAGAAUGAAAAUGUAGGGAAGAGGAGAGAUUUGUUUAUUCUGAAAUCAAUCUUCAGGGGAAACUGCUGAGAAGAAUUGGAGACCCGCUUACCAGGGGUGAAAUGUACUUACCUUUCCUACCGGUUCACUUUGCUGGGAAGUGGAAAGGUCUCAGCCUCUACAAGCCCACAUCCCAAAACUUCAAAGAAUGGAUGGGCUGCUUCUUGGUAAACUAGGAGUGAUCGUAAUGGAGUUGCUCUGGUACACGACAUUUUGGGGUUUUCUCAAGUGGUACUGCAUUCUUUCUCAUGUCAGCAGAGCCUGAAUUGUUUUAAAGGAAGAGCAAGAUAAUCAUUGAACCCAGUCCAUUCUCUGUCUCUGUCUCUUUGUGUCCUUCUAAAAGUCUAGAAUGUCAAGAUUGCAGAAGAAGCUGCGAGGCAGCCAAGCUUUCAAAGGUGAGGAGCCCAGCCAAAGACUAAGAAGGUCUUCCAAACACAAGAGCAAGACAUUAGGAAGAAUCAGGUUCCAAGAUGGAGUACUAGAAAUAUCUAGAUGACAAGAUGCAGAAGUUCAGUCCUACCCAGAAAAUCAAAAGACCAACCCAGAAACCUUGUUUCCAUGCUUGCUUUUAGAAAUGAGAGUUUAUAAACCUGAACCUCCACUCAGUUACUAAGGGCAUCUGGAAAUUAUUCCUACUUGUGAGUAGGGUCUUGUAAGCUUUUACUUAUGAGGAAGGUUUGGUGGGGGGGAUUGAAAAUUAGCUUGGACCAGUCACCAAGCUCAACUGCAGUCUCCAAACCCAGUGAGGUGGACUCACACAUAAGGAUCUGAAUCUAGAACUUCCCUUGAAAGGAAACUCUAUUAGAGUUAGGGACUUCUGCAAAAUGAUUGCUUUGUGGAAGAUUCUAGGUCCACCAAUAAUGAUUCUCCCAAGAGAAGCAAGAUAAACCUGCUGUUCCCAACAUGAAGAGGAGAAGAUUAUCUGCGAUGGAGUGAGUCAAUGAUGAGCCUUGUAAGAGGUCUUAUAUUUUCCCUUCCUCGUUCCAGAAUUCAGGCAAGGCACUGAAUUCAGGUGAGCAUUCUGGCCAUAUUUCAAUUCAAUUUUCUUCAUCACAGUCCCAACUCACCUACCUAUGCCAUUUUCUAUGUACUGUAUAUGUGUUUUCUCCUUUCAGAAUAGCCAGCUCACACUCUUUCCUCUUAAUAAAUGCUGAAUUUGUACAAUUGUACCUGUAAACUAAACCGAUACUGAAGUGCAUGCUAUAAUUCACUUGAGCCAAUUUGCGGGAAAGAAGAGAAAACAUUGAGAUAUACCUGUAAAAAAAAAUUAGGAGGGAAAAUACACUCAGAGUUAAAUGUAAAUAUUAGAAGAUCACCGCUACGAAACAGU